rnacentral:rRNA from 1 species
AUGGUCUUCAACAUGGCACAAAGAGAGAGAUCAUUCAGAGCUCCUCAUAGAGAGCAUGGACCAUUGCCUCAGCAAUCCUAUUUUGUUGCAGCUGCAGGUGAUUCCAUUCCACAACCUAGAGUUAUUACAACCGAAAUGAACAUAGGCAGGAGUACAAGAGCAACCCGAAGAGCUGAAACAGGGGAAGGAUCACAACAUGUUGCAAGAGAUAAUAAAAGACAGAGGGGAGCUGGAAGAGGAGCUGCUGAUAUUGCAGGCACAUCUGUAGCUGCUGCUAGGGGAAGAGGAGCUGGAAGGGGAAGGAUCUCUGGAAGAACUGCAGGAGGUAGAGCUGGAAGAGGAGCUGGAAGGGGAAGGAACACUGCAGCAGCUAGUACUGAAAGAGGUGCUGGAAUAUCUUCAGGUGUUGACACAUCUUUAGGACUUGGAUUUGGUACUGGAAGAGGUGCAUAUUACUGGUUGUUUGGAGAUGACAAGGCUACAGAAAUUCCAGAUCUCAACUUGUAG